ACACACACACACACACACACGCACGCACGCACACAUUUGUAUGUCUCCGUAUGUGUGAGUAUGUGUGUCUGCAGUGCCUGUGUUCAUUCCUCUUCGACGCUAAGCAGCACAGUGGAGCGUAAACUCGGCUAUAGAAUCUUUAUAUUUUGAAGAGUUUUGAAUAACUUUUGGGCUGAAAACCAUCUGCAAUAUCUGGCAACACUAGAUCCAGAUGUUUCACGUUUCCCCUGAGCGCUUUUUGGAGAUGUCUGCUUGACGAGGAGCAGUGACACACUGAACGUUAAACUCAACGAUCCAUGGCUAAAAGGACGAUAAAUGCUGUUAUAUUUGUGUAAAGUAUUUUGAUUUGGAGCUCUUUUUUUCUUUUGGCUGAGGAGAAUGGAGAGGAAACUCAGAGCGGUUGUGCUGCUGGAGAUACAUUUGCUCUUCGUGUUCUUCUUGCACGGACAGUCUAGUGCAGAUAACGAGAAUGUAAUUGAUCUUGUGGAAGCACUAAACCUACCUCACCGAAAAAGUGCGAGCAGCGGCAUGAUCUACAAACUACGUAACAGAGCACCCCACCUGACACUUCCCGCUGAAUAUUCUCACUUCCUGUACUCCAACCUUCAGGGUAGCAUGGGUGUUCAUGUGGUGGGGCGCCAGGCGCCUCGAUCCACUGCCACCAUCUUUUCUCUUUCGUCUGCAUCUUCGCCUAUUCUCCAGAUCAUCUCCUCCACUGUCAAUAACACCCUGCGUGUGGACUACCAGGUUGAAGGAAGAGCGCACGACUUUGCCAGCAUUAACCUUCUGGACACAAACCCUUUUGCAAGUGAAAAGUGGGGUCAUCUGGCUGUGAGCCUGGAGCCUGACAGACUGGCAUUUUUUGUGGACUGUCAAGAAACUGCAGUUUUUCCAAUAGAAAAUGAGAACAGGAUCAACCUAGAACUGCCUCAAGAUGUUCUCAUCACUCUUGGCAGCACAUUAGGAAAGAGAAGCAGUAAAUUUAGUGGAUAUUUGAAGGCAGCAGAAAUUUCACUGAAAGCAUAUCCAAGGCGCCCAUGGAGCUGCAAUCUUACAGAUCAUCUAUUUCCUCCAGAUGCACAUGACCCAGAUUCCCAGACUGACUCCAGCAAACCUCACAAUGAUUUACCCAGUAAACUUCAAACAAACCACAGAUCACAGGACCAAACCAGCUAUCAUCCUCAGGAGAUCCAGAGUGAUCAGAUGCAGGGAGCUGAGCCUCCUCGAGGUGAUAAUUCUGCUUCUCAGGAACAGAAAGAUGAGAGACUGAGGAAGCUGGAGAGACAGAUGACAAAGCUGACUGAUGAGUUGGGCAUCAUAAGAGAGCAGAACAAAAACCUACAAAAUCGUGUAAAAUUCCUGGAGUUAUGUCUGAAGGACCAUUGCAGAGAAGGGGUCCAGUCAGAUUGUCCUUUUCACAAUGGGUCCAACUGUACUGAAGAUCGCUGUCAGACAAGAACGUGUAAUGAGGAUAACAGGCAGUGCCCUCAACAGCCGUGCGCUCCUCAAAACUGCCCAGGAGAGAAUGUACCUGACUGUCAGAGAAGAACAUGUAAUGAGGAUAACAGGCAGUGCCCUCAACAGCCGUGCCCUCCUCAAAACUGCCCACAGGAAAAUGUACCUGACUGUCAGACACGAACGUGUGAUGAGGAUAACAGGCAGUGUCCUCAACAGCGAUGCCCUAAUCAAGACUGCAGAGAGGAGAAUGUACCUGACUGUCAGACAAGAACGUGUAAUGAGGAUAACAGGCAGUGCCCUCAACAGCCAAGCCCUCCUCAAAACUGCCCACAGGAAAAUGUACCUGACUGUCAGACACGAACAUGUGAUGAUAACAGGCAGUGCCCUCAACAGCCAUGCCCUAAUCAAGACUGCAGAGAGGAAAAUGUAACUGGGUGUCAGACACGAACGUGUGAUGAUAACAGGCAGUGCCCUCAACAGCCAUGCCCUAAUCAAGACUGCAGAGAGGAAAAUGUAACUGGGUGUCAGACACGAACGUGUGAUGAUAAUAGGCAGUGCCCUCAACAGCCAUGCCCUAAUCAAGACUGCAGAGAGGAAAAUGUACCUGGCUGUCAGACACAAACGUGCAAUGAGGAUAACAGGGAGUGCCCCCCUCAAGACUGCCCACAGGGGAAUGUACCUGUAGGCUGUGCCCAGCAAAUCACAGGUUGCACCCAUUCUGGUGUAAAUUAUAACAAUGGAGACUCUUGGAGGUCGGUGGAGAGUCCUUGUGAUAUCUGCCAGUGUUUGGACGGUUAUGUUCGCUGUGAGAGGGAGCAGUGUUACACUCCCUGUAGAAACCCUACUGCUCCUCCUCCAAAUACCUGCUGUCCAGUCUGUGAAGGCUGUGAUGUGAAUGGACAUGAAGUCCCCAAUGGAGCUGUGAUCCCUGUUGGAGACCCCUGUGAAGAGUGUAGAUGUGAGAAUGGAAAUAUGGUGUGUUCACGCGUUCGCUGUUCUGCUCCAUCUUGUAACAAUCCAGUGUAUCAUGCUGGGGAGUGUUGUCCACGAUGCGAGCAGUGUGAAUAUGAGUCCGAAGUGUAUGUGAAUGGAGAGAGGUUCACCUCAAAGAGAGACCCCUGCCUCCAAUGCUACUGCUCUGCAGGUCAAGUGUCAUGUGAACACAUGGCUGCAUUAUGUCCUACGCUACAGUGUACUCAUCCAGCUAGGCACAGAGGAGAGUGUUGUGCCUCAUGCAAUGAGUGUGAGUAUGAACAGAGGGUGUAUGCUGAUGGGGAAAUUUUCAGCCCUUCUGGGGGUGGACCCUGCCUGCAGUGCAGGUGUAAGAGUGGAAAUGUAAUUUGCAACGAAGAAAAGUGCCCUCCUGUCCGCUGCUCCAAUCCGAUUAGACACCCACAUCUUUGUUGUCCAGUCUGCAAAACAUGUGAACUGGAUGGAGUGGAAUAUGAUGAGGGGUCCAACUGGCAGCCUGAGGGUCCUUGUUCCAGCUGUACCUGUGCAAAUGGAGAGGCCUUAUGCACACGCACACAGUGUGCUGCCAACAACUGUCUGCAUCCCACCAGGAUUACUGGCUCCUGUUGUUCAGUCUGUGAAAGCUGCACUUAUAACCAACGUGUCUAUAGCAAUGGUCAGAGUUUCGCGACCCCUGACCAACCUUGCCACACCUGCACUUGUCUGCAUGGCACUGUUCAGUGUGAGAGACAAUCUUGUCCUCAGCUUAACUGCAGGGACUCCUACACCCCACCUGGAGACUGUUGCCCCAGAUGUCGAGACUGCUCCUAUGAAAACCGUGUGUUUUUGAAUGGAGACGUUUUUCCCAACCCCGUGAGUGUGUGUGAGGAGUGCACAUGUGCGAGUGGAAGGAUUGACUGCCAUCAGGCACAAUGUUCUGAGCCUCGCUGUAAUGCACCGAUGCCUGGGCAGUGCUGCCAGAACAACUGCAAUGGCUGCAGGUAUGCAGGGAAAGAAUAUUCCAAUGGACAACAAUUUCCCCAUCCUACUGACUCAUGCAGGACAUGCAGCUGCACUAAUGGAAAUGUCCAGUGUCUGAUGAAGAGGUGUCCACCACUGACCUGCUCUAAUCCUCAUGUGAUACAAGGAGAGUGCUGUCCCCAGUGUCCUGCUCCUCAGUCAGACUGUGUGUAUGAACAAAGCUCCUACAGUCACUUGGAGCAUUUCAGCGACCCCAAUAACGACUGUCGAUCAUGUGCCUGCACCAACGGGACAGUUCGCUGUAAACGAAAGCGCUGCCCGUUCGCUCACUGUUCUCACCCCAUCAAACAAGACUGCUGUCGGAGCUGCGAAGGCUGCUUAUAUGAAGAUCAACAGCGAGUUAAUGGGGAGAUGUGGGAUAACCCAUCAGAGCCAUGUGUUGAGUGUGCUUGCCGUGACGGCUCUGUCCAGUGUCAGAGGAAACGCUGUCCUCCCUCCAACUGUAAACACCCAGUCCAGAGAGAUUGCUGCAUGUCCUGUGAUGGCUGCAUGUAUAAUGGUAGAGAAUAUCUUGACGGCACUGAGUUUCAUGAUGGCAGCGACCCCUGUGUUGUCUGUCACUGUUACGGAGGCGAUGUCACGUGCUCCAGGAUACCCUGUGAUGAAAAAUGCAGUCACCCUUACAAACCACCAAGACAAUGCUGUGGAGAAUGUGACCGCUGUUCCUAUAAUGGCGCAGUCCUCAUCAAUGGACAGUCCAUUCCUGACCCAGGAAACCCUUGCUAUGAAUGUAUUUGCCAGAGAGGCUCGGUGCAAUGUAGGAGGAAGCGGUGUCCUGAAGCCCUUUGUCCUAAUCCAGUCACUGAUGCUUGUGGUUGCCCAGUUUGUGGAGGUUGUCGUUUUGAAGGUCUGACUUAUGCUGAUGGACAGAUUCUCCUUGAACAAGAAAAAGCGUGCGAGGACUGCAGAUGUUCAAGAGGAGAGGUAGUGUGUGAGCAAAGAAAAUGCCCUGCUGUGUCAUGCCCACAUCCAACUCUCAACAGCUGCGCAUGUGAAGUGUGUGAUGGAUGUAACUUCUAUGGACGCGACUGUUUGAGUGGGGAGCAAUUUGCACACCCUACAGAUAGCUGUCAGCGCUGCUCCUGUCAGAAUGGUGGUGUGGUAUGUGAGCAGGAAUCUUGUCCAAGCAUUACCUGUAGCAAUCCAGUGACGCGUCCUGGGGAAUGCUGCCCCGUCUGUGACUGCUGUUUCUAUGAGGAUGCUGUUUAUUCUAACGGCGAAAGCUUCAGGCCCCCAUCAAACCAAUGCCAGAGCUGCACCUGUGUCGCGGGCACUGUUGAAUGUGUGUCCGACGGCUGCCAACAAGCACCCUGCGCUCAACACGUUUCCAUGUCAGAGCCGUGCUCAGUAUGUAUGCUGAAUGGACAGGAGUUCAGUGAUGGGCAGACGUGGACCCUGAGUUCAAACCACUGCUCCACCUGCAUCUGUAAGGCAGGUGAGGUGCAUUGUGCAGUUCCUGAGUGUCCUAAGCUUGCUUGUGUGCAUCAGGUGACUGAUCCAGGAGCCUGCUGUCCUCGUUGUAGAGGUUGUGUUUAUGCGGGAGAGGAGCAUACAGAGGGCAGCAGCUGGUUUGCAGACUCAACUCCAUGUAUGACAUGUAUGUGCGUGGAUGGUGUGACCACCUGCUCUGAAGUACACUGUCUGUCUCCAUGUGUUAACUUCAUCAGUGUGCCUGGGGAGUGCUGCCCAAUGUGUGCUGACUGUGUAUUUGAGGGCAAAGUAUAUGGACCAGGGGACAGUUUCCAUCCAGCCAAUGACCCCUGUCAGAUCUGCACAUGUGAGGUGAUGCCGGAUGGAGAACAGCACCUGAAGUGUUACCGAAAGCAGUGUCCCAGUCUGGUUGACUGUCCUAAGGGCAACAUCUUGUUCUCUGGACCGGACUCUUGCUGUCCUGUCUGUGCACAGCCUCUCAGUAACUGUACCCCUGCACUGAUUGGUAAUGAGGUGUUGGCAACAGAUGACCCCUGUUUUACCUGCCAGUGUAAGGACCUGACAUGGACUUGCUUACACAAAGUCUGCCCACUACUCACCUGUCCUCUAAAUGAGCAGUUCACCCCUCCAGACUCAUGCUGCCCAGUGUGUAAAGAUUGUGUAAUUGAGGAUCAGAACAGGCGUGUUGUGAACGGCACCAGCUGGAAAGACAGCAAAGAUGACUGUGUCACAUGCACCUGUUUUUUGGGCUACAUUGAGUGCAGCAUUGAAGAGUGUUUACCUGCCAUUUGUCUGGAAGGACAAAAGCAAGUGAAACUUCCUGGGAGAUGCUGCUAUGAAUGUCAAGACUCGGAGGUGUCGUGUUUGUACCAGGGGACAGUGUUUCACUCCAAUGAACACUGGGAGGUGGAUGAAUGCACCAGCUGCACGUGUUUGUCUGGAGACGUACACUGUCGCAGUGAACGCUGCCCUCCCCUCACCUGUGCAAAUGAUGAGAUGCCUGCAGUUAUCCCAGGUUUGUGUUGUCCUCAUUGCCUUCCUCGUCCAGCUACUUGCAGUGCCUUUGGCGAUCCUCAUUACCGGACCUUCGAUGGCCGCAUGCUGCACUUCCAGGGAACGUGCACAUAUGUCCUGACACAGGAUUGUGAGAGUGGAGAUUUCAGUGUUCAUGCUACAAAUGAUGAUCGUGGACGUAAAGGAGUGUCCUGGACUAAAGAGGUUACUGUGUUUUUGGGUGAUGUCACAGUGCAGCUACUGCAGGAUUGGAUUGUGAAGGUGAAUGAUGAGGCUGUAACUUUGCCAUUUCUCAGGGAACCAUACAUCUAUAUCGAACGGCAAACCAACACAAUUUUACUCAACACUAACAUUGGUCUGAAGGUGCUGUGGAGUCCUCGUUCACAUGUAGAAGUAAGUGUGCCAGGCUCCUAUAAGGGCCACACCUGUGGACUUUGUGGAAACUUCAACAACUACUACCAGGAUGACCUCCGGAUGCCAAAUGGACGAAUCACCCUAUCUGAGUCUGAAUUUGGAAACAGCUGGAGGGUCACAAAUGGUACCCAUUUCCGCUCCUCCUGUCGUCCUGGCGAGAAUGUUGACCCUUGUAAGGAUGCAGGCUACCAGGCCAAGAAGGGGGCCAACACUCGCUGUAAAAUCCUGAAGUCUGCCAUCUUUAAGCCCUGUCAUCCCGUGGUGCCUCCUGAACAGUGGUACGGAGCUUGUGUUUACGACCUCUGUGCUUGCGGUGCAAAUACUGAUGACUGUCUUUGUGACACGUUGGAGGCCUACGCGAGCCAGUGCAGAGCAGCAGGAGUCAUCGUGCAGUGGAGGAGCGCGUCUCUGUGUGCUGUGGGCUGCCCAGUGGAGAGGGGCUUUGUGUUUGAUGAGUGCGGCCCCCCUUGUCCUGUAACCUGCUUUAAUGUCGAUGUACCUCUGGGAGUGAUAGAAAGCCACUGUUUCAAGCCCUGUGUUCCAGGAUGUCAGUGUCCUGCUGGUCUGGUCCUACACAACAACUACUGCAUACCACAAGAGAAGUGUCCAAAGAUCAUUCAUGGCAGCUCCUCAAAUGCCACAGUUACUCAAUAAGUGGACACUCACUUAUAAUUUCACACACAUGCACUGUCACUGCAUCAGCCCCAUGUUACUGUAUACAAUGGAAACAUUUCCAGAUGAACCUCCAUGACCUGUGGACUCCACAUACUGUGUUUGUUGGUUUUUAUAAAUAUUGUAACACUGAAUAUUUAAUUCCAUACCUAGUUUGUUUCACACAUUUACUUUAACAGUAUUAGCAAUUAUUUAAAGUUGUUUAUUAUGCAGGUUACAUUUUUAGCACUGUGCAAUGUCUGACUGUUCAUACAGGAAGCCAUAUAAUCUCAGGUAAUCUUUUCCUUCUCCAUUUUAUAAAUAAAAGUUUCACUAAUA